rnacentral:rRNA from 1 species
GACGAACGCUGGCGGCGUGCUUAACACAUGCCAGUCGAACGGAAAGGCCCUGCUUUUGUGGGGUGCUCGAGUGGCGAACGGGUGAGUAACACGUGAGUAACCUGCCCUUGACUUUGGGAUAACUUCAGGAAACUGGGGCUAAUACCGGAUAGGAGCUCCUGCUGCAUGGUGGGGGUUGGAAAGUUUCGGCGGUUGGGGAUGGACUCGCGGCUUAUCAACUUGUUGGUGGGGUAGUGGCUUACCAAGGCUUUGACGGGUAGCCGGCCUGAGAGGGUGACCGGCCACAUUGGGACUGAGAUACGGCCCAGACCCCUACGGGGGGCAGCAGGGGGGAAUAUUGCACAAGGGGGGGAAGCCUGAUGCAGAAACGCCGGGUGGGGGAGGACGGCCUUGGGGUUGUAAACCGCUUUCGCCUGUGACGAAGCGUGAGUGGCGGUAAUGGGUAAAGAAGCACCGGCUAACUACGU